CUUGCAUGUUACCGACUCGGUCUCUUGGUAGUAGUUUGAUGCGUCACCUUGGAACACCAGUGUUGUUAGCUAAGACAGAAAUUUAGAAACUCGCCACCUGCAGCUUUUCCCAGCUCGAUAGCAACCUGCAUUGUAACAAUCUGAAGCAAUUCAUUAUGGAAUAUUCCUGAAGAUCCACCUGGAAUAUUUUCUUGUAUGGUCUUCUUUUCUCUUACACGCUUCUUAACUUCCCUCAUUACCCUGUGUAGUGUCAGUGAUGUCAAUUCGCCAGAGUCUCUAAGUGCUCGACUGACAGGAAGAGUGUUUAUCUCGGACCUUACAUCAGAGCCCAUACUUCGACACAGGGCUUGCUGGUGAGUCAGCAGCUAAAAUCUGCAGUCCUACACUACUACAGAAAGAAGUACCAAGCUUUACAAGAGACUUUUCUAGUGAAUACCGGAACUCGCACACGGUCACGGG